UCGGGAAUUUUGGGCAAUGGGCGAAAGCCUGACCCAGCAACGCCGCGUGAAGGAUGAAGUAUUUCGGUAUGUAAACUUCGUGAGAAUAGGAAGAAUAAAUGACGGUACUAUUUGUAAGGUCCGGCUAACUACGUGCCAGCAGCCGCGGUAAUACGUAGGGACCAAGCGUUGUUCGGAUUUACUGGGCGUAAAGGGCGCGUAGGCGGCGUGGUAAGUCAUCUGUGAAAUCUCCGAGCUUAACUCGGAACGGUCAGAUGAUACUGCUGUGCUAGAGUACAGAAGGGGCAAUCGGAAUUCUUGGUGUAGCGGUGAAAUGCGUAGAUAUCAAGAGGAACACCUGAGGUGAAGACGGGUUGCUGGGCUGAUACUGACGCUGAGGCGCGAAAGCUAGGGUAGCAAACGGGGAUUAGAUACCCACGUAUUCCCUGAGCGGGGCUGGCAAG
rnacentral:rRNA from 1 species